GUUAAUGAACUUGUAUAAGUAUUUACCUUGAAAGUAAAAAAAAGAGAUAUUUAAUUCUC
rnacentral:tRNA from 1 species